rnacentral:rRNA from 1 species
UACAGAGGUCUCAAGCGUUGUUCGGAAUCACUGGGCGUAAAGGGUGCGUAGGUGGCGUGGUAAGUCAGAUGUGAAAGCCCGGGGCUCAACCUCGGAAUAGCAUCCGAUACUACCAUGCUGGAGUACUGAAGAGGUGACUAGAAUUCUCGGUGUAGCAGUGAAAUGCGUAGAGAUCGGAAAGAACACCAACGGCGAAAGCACUCUGCUGGGCCGACACUGACACUGAGAGACGAAAGCUAGGGGAGCGAAUGGG